UGGGGAAUCUUGCACAAUGGGGGAAACCCUGAUGCAGCGAUGCCGCGUGAGUGAAGAAGGCCCUUGGGUUGUAAAGCUCUUUCGUCGGGGAAGAAAAUGACUGUACCCGAAUAAGAAGGUCCGGCUAACUUCGUGCCAGCAGCCGCGGUAAUACGAAGGGACCUAGCGUAGUUCGGAAUUACUGGGCUUAAAGAGCACGUAGGUGGUUAAAAAAGUUGGUGGUGAAAUCCCAGAGCUUAACUCUGGAACUGCCAUCAAAACUUUUUAGCUAGAGUAUGAUAGAGGAAAGUAGAAUUUCUAGUGUAGAGGUGAAAUUCGUAGAUAUUAGAAAGAAUACCAAUUGCGAAGGCAGCUUUCUGGAUCAUUACUGACACUGAGGUGCGAAAGCAUGGGUAGCGAAGAGG
rnacentral:rRNA from 1 species